rnacentral:snRNA from 16 species
GUCAAAUAAUAAUAAAUUGCAGAGCCUUUAAGAAGACUCAAAGCACAAUUUUUGCGAACCCUGAUCUUGCUAGGUCGGGGUA